rnacentral:rRNA from 1 species
AACGAACGCUGGCGGCAGGCCUAACACAUGCAAGUCGAGCGAGAUCUUCGGGUCUAGCGGCGGACGGGUGAGUAACGCGUGGGAAUAUGCCCCUUGGUACGGAAUAGCCUCGGGAAACUGGGAGUAAUACCGUAUGUGCCCUUUGGGGGAAAGAUUUAUCGCCAAGAGAUUAGCCUGCGUUGGAUUAGGUAGUUGGUGGGGUAAUGGCCUACCAAGCCGAGGAUCCAUAGCUGGUUUGAGAGGAUGAUCAGCCACACUGGGACUGAGACACGGCCCAGACUCCUACGGGAGGCAGCGGUGGGGAAUCUUAGACAGUGGGGGCAACCCUAGUCAGGCCGUGCGGGGGGAGUGAUGAAGGCCUUAGGGUUGUAAAGCUGUUUGAGCUGGGAAGAUAAUGACGGUACCGGCAGAAGAAGCCCCGGCUAACUCCGUG